AACUUUAUCGCCGACUGCAGCAACAACACCGGCUGCCUCUUUACCAGGUAUAUAAGGAAGAGGAGCAGUAUACAAACCGGUUCGCAAAUAAGUAUCUAUAUAAUUCAAUCCUGCAUAUGCAUUCUUAAUAACCAAGCCAUUGGGUGCUGGUUUGGGAAUUUCCUUCGUUAUUACUUGCAAAACGGAAGAUGGGCCGGUCUUGGAAACCUGCACUAAUAAAUUUGACAUAUUAUAAAAUUACUAAACAAGAAGAGCAAAUAAGUUGGUUUUAAAGCGUAAGUAAGGAUUAUGGGAACGAGUGGUAAUAGUUAUCGUUUUAUAAUAAUGAGGUUAGGCAUGGAGAUCGCAGUGCAACGAUUGAAUGAGCAAGAAAUGGCAUCGAUGUCGAUACAGGACACCCAACUUAUAGUUGGCAAGGAAUCUCCUAGAAGAAAAUUACUAAUCAAACAUGAUCUUGUUUUUUCGUAAAAAGACCAUUAAAAAGGGAAAAAGGAUGUUUGUAGAUACAAACAGAGAUGCGAUACAUGAAGAAUGGUAUAUUUAUAAAUGUUUUAGACGGUCUAAACGAGCAGCAAGCUCUUCAAAAGAAGGAGCUUUAUUAGAAUGUGUUAAUGUUGGAUUUGUGGGUAAAUAGUUAGAGGAUUGCAGUGAGGAUGCAUUUGUUGAUCCAUUAUUCUGAGGUUCAGCGCGUUUUGAAAUGUUAGCUAGAUUCCCAUUCACUUUUUCAUCAUCUUCUUGAGUGUUUUCUUCUUUCAAUGAAGUAGGUUGUUCACGAUUCUCAGAAGAUUCGAGGUUCAACAUUGUAUCAGCUUCAGCAGAAGAUGGGAUAUCUUUAUUAGCUUCUUUAGGAUAAUCAUUUGGAAAAUAAGUACGAAUUAACUCUUUUCUAUAGGCUUCGACUAGUUCAUCCUUUGGAAUAGGAGGGUAUAAAAGUUGGUAAAACUAGAAUUGAUUAGCAUACGAACUUUUUUUAGCGCGUUUUUUUAUUUUCAAUGAAAAUAAAUAACAGAAACUUACAGCAGUAUCAUUAGUAGCUAGAUCAGGGUCACUUAAUCUUGCAAACUCCUUGCCAUACAAUUUUACUAGAAAAUCAUGAACCUAUAAAUAAUAAACAAGUUAGUUAUAAAAAACUAAAUUUUAAAAAUUUAUCUUUA